ensembl:lncRNA
GGCCUUUAGAUUAGGCAUACCAAAUUUGGUGCUGAUCUGAAUAAAUCUCUAGGAGGAGUUCGUUAAAAUACAAGGCAUGCAAAUGACAAAAAUGAUGCAAAAUUUGCUCAUAAAAUUAAAAAUAACCGACUUCCUGUUGGGUUUCGGAUAUUGCUCCAAGAGUCUUUUUUGUAGGUACUGAUGCCUUACAUAUGUGUGCCAAUUUUCGUGCAUGUACGUGAAACACAGCUCGAGGGCUGUUGAUUUUUUUACGGUAGGUGGCGCUGUCGAGCCAUUUUGCCACACCCUCUUCUGAAACCUAUAUCAGACGUAAAUUUUCACCAGGUCUGACGCGUGUGCAAAGUUUCAGGACUUUUCAAGCAUGUUUAGGCCCUCAAAAAUGCGAUUCAUUUUGGAGAAGAAGAAGAAGAAGAAGAAGAAUAAUAAUAAUAAUAAUAAACAAAGCAGAUACAAUAGGGUCCUCACACCAUCGGUGCUCGGGCCCUAAUAAAUAUAGCUGCAAGCAGCGAUGGCGGGCUCAAGCCAUCAGCGCAAACGCCACCCCGGUGGCAUCAGGUAAACUGUGCCCAGCGGGCACAUGCAUUUACAGUAACCCUCUGGCACUCAGGUU